ACUUUCCUUGUCUUGGGGUUGUGUGGCUAUUCAAUGAGCGUCUAGUGAGAGUAGCCCUGCUAACACCAUACCAACACACUCGCAUCACCUGAGUAUUAGCUUGGGCUAUGGUGCAAUUUUUGGAACC